rnacentral:rRNA from 1 species
GGAGUUAGCCGGUGCUUCUUCUGCGAGUAACGUCACAGAUGUAAGGUAUUAACUUACACCCUUUCCUCCUCGCUGAAAGUGCUUUACAACCCGAAGGCCUUCUUCACACACGCGGCAUGGCUGCAUCAGGGUUUCCCCCAUUGUGCAAUAUUCCCCACUGCUGCCUCCCGUAGGAGUCUGGGCCGUGUCUCAGUCCCAGUGUGGCUGAUCAUCCUCUCAGACCAGCUAGGGAUCGUCGCCUAGGUGAGCCUUUACCUCACCUACUAGCUAAUCCCACCUGGGCUUAUCCAUCAGCGCAAGGCCCGAAGGUCCCCUGCUUUCCCCCGUAGGGCGUAUGCGGUAUUAGCAGUCGUUUCCAACUGUUAUCCCCCACAAAUGGGCAAAUUCCCAGGCAUUACUCACCCGUCCGCCGCUCGUCAUCUUCAAAGCAAGCUUUUAGAAAUGUUACCGCUCGACUUGCAUGUGUUAGGCCUGCCGCCAGCGUUCAAUCUGAGCCAGAAUCGAACCCUGA